rnacentral:rRNA from 1 species
UGGGGGAAUUUUUCGCAAUGGGCGAAACCCUGACGGAGCAAUGCCGCGUGAAGGAUGAAGGCCUAUGGGUUGUAAACUUCUUUUUUUAGAGAAGAAUAUUGACGGUAUCUGAGGAAUAAGCAUCGGCUAACUCUGUGCCAGCAGCCGCGGUAAGACAGAGGAUGCAAGCGUUAUCCGGAAUGAUUGGGCGUAAAGCGUCUGUAGGUGGCUUCAAAAGUCUCCUGUCAAAGAUCAGGGCUUAACCCUGGGCCGGCAGGAGAAACUCUGAGGCUAGAGUUGGUAGGGGCAGAGGGAAUUCCCGGUGGAGCGGUGAAAUGCGUAGAGAUCGGGAGGAACACCAAAGGCGAAAGCACUCUGCUGGGCCACAACUGACACUAGAGACGAAAGCGAGAUUCCCC